GAUGAACGCUGGCAGCGUGCCUAAUACAUGCAAGUCGAGCGAACAGACGAGGAGCUUGCUCCUCUGACGUUAGCGGCGGACGGGUGAGUAACACGUGGAUAACCUACCUAUCAGACUGGGAUAACUUCGGGAAUCCGGAGCUAAUACGGGAUAAUAUACUGAACCGCAUGGUUCAAUGGUAAAAGACGGUUUUGCUGUCACUUAUCGCUGCAUCCCCGCCGCAUUAGCUGGUUGGUAAGGUAACGGCUUAUCAAGGCAACGAUGCGUAACCGAACUGAGGGGGUGAUCGGCCACACUGGAACUGAGACACGGUCCAGACUCCUACGGGAGGCAGCAGUAGGGAAUCGGCCGCAAUGGGCGAAAGCCUGACGGAGCAACGCCGCGUGAGUGAUGAAGGUCUCCGGAGCGUGAAAAUCUGUUAUGAGGUAAGAACAAAUGUGGAAGGAGCUAUGCACGGCUUGACGGUACCUAAUCAGAAAGCCACGGCUAACUACGUG
rnacentral:rRNA from 1 species